UACGUAGGGGCAAGCGUUGUCCGGAUUUAUUGGGCGUAAAGAGCGUGUAGGCGGCCGUACAGGUCAGCUGUGAAAACUCGAGGCUCAACCUCGAGACGUCGGUUGAAACCGUACGGCUAGAGUCCGGAAGAGGAGAGUGGAAUUCCCGGUGUAGCGGUGAAAUGCGCAGAUAUCGGGAAGAACACCCGUGGCGAAGGCGGCUCUCUGGGACGGUACUGACGCUGAGACGGCGAAAGCGUGGGAGCGAACAGG
rnacentral:rRNA from 1 species